UUUGUCUAAAAAGAUAUAUAAUUUGCUAAGAGCGGGGGAUUGAAAACAAGAUUUUCACUAUAACAUUGGAUAAUGUUUCUUCCAAUGAUGUUUGUGUUGGGUUAUUAAAACAAACAUUAAACAUUAAGAAAGCCCUUCUUUGUGAAGGUGAGUUCUUUCAUCUGCGUUGUUGUGCCCAUAUUCUUAAUUUGAUAGUGCAAAAUGGAUUGAAAGAGAUCAAUGAUGCUAUUCAAAAGAUUCGAGAUAGUGUAAAGUAUGUUAGAGGAUCAUAAGUGCUUUCUUCAGGCUGUAAAUCAAAUGUCAUUAGAUAGUAAUAAGUGGUUAAAACAAGAUGUGCCAAUCAGAUGGAAUUCUACAUAUCUUAUGCUUGAGAGUGCUAUUCACUAUCGGCGUACUAUUAGUUAUUUGGAGAUGACUGAUUCAAACUAUAAGCAUUGUCCUACUACACUUGAGUGGAAAAAGGUAAAUAAUAUCAAUAGUUUCUUAGCUUGCUUUUACCAAGCUACAUGUACUUUUUCUGGUACCAAGUAUCCCAUUUCCAACUUAUACUUUCCCGUAAUUGCUAUGAUUUAUGUAACCUUGAAGCAACACCUUGUGAGUGAAGAUGAGCAUAAGAGCUUAAUGGCAACUCCAAUGAUCUCUAAAUUUGAGAAAUAUUGGUCAAAAUUCAGUUAAGUGUUGGCCAUAGCAGUUAUCUUAGAUCCUCGUUACAAGCUUCACCUUGUAAAUUACUACUAUAUGAAGAUUUAUGGAGUAGGAUUCUGUAGAGUUUGUGAAUGUUUGUGAGAAAUUAGUGCAGCUUUUUAUGGAGUAUAGUGCUUAUUCUAGAACUUCAAGCUCCAUAGUUGUUCAGCCCCAAGAACAUCGCACAGUGCUAGAUUGGGAAAAGGAAUAUUUAGCAUUUGAUGGAGUUGAUAUUAAUUCACAAAAGAAUCAAUUGAAAAUAUAUUUGGAGGAACCUAGGUCUUUCGAUAAGAAUGCAACAUUUGACAUCCUUUCAUUUUGGAAAGAAAAUGAAUUUCGCUAUCCUGAAGUAGCUGGAGCUCACUCAAGCCUGAUAUUGUUGAGGCAUUAGUUUGCACAAAAGAUUGGUUAUGGAGAGCAAGUUGGAUAGCAAAGAAGAGGAUAUUUUGACAAUGGAUGUCAAUUCCUGUGACAUUCUAAAUUCAUCUAAAGCACAAUCUGAUAAUAUUUCUUAAAAUGAGCAUAUUUGUUGUGUUUCAUAUCUUUAAUUGCAUGUGAUGAAUCAUGGAUCCUUCAAGUGGACAAACCAGGCAUACUGGCCCAUGGGAACCUAAU